rnacentral:rRNA from 1 species
AUUGAACGCUGGCGGCAGGCCUAACACAUGCAAGUCGAACGAGUGGCGGACGGGUGAGUAAUGUCUGGGAAACUGCCUGAUGGAGGGGGAUGACUACUGGAAACGGUAGCUAAUGCCGCAUACCAUCAGAUGGGCCGAGAGGGGUGUAGCUUGUUGGUGGGGGAACGGCUCACAAAGGCGACGAUCCCUAGCUGGUCUGAGAGGCUGACCAGCCACACUGGAACUGAGACACGGUCCAGACUCCUACGGGAGGCAGCAGUGGGGAAUAUUGCACAAUGGGCGCAAGCCUGAUGCAGCCAUGCCGCGUGUAUGAAGAAGGCCUUCGGGUUGUAAAGUACUUUCAGCGGGGAGGCGUUACCUGCAGAAGAAGCACCGGCUAACUCCGUGCCAGCAGCCGCGGUAAUUC